UUGAACGCUGGCGGCAUGCUUUACACAUGCAAGUCGAGCGGCAGCGCGGGCUUCGGCCUGGCGGCGAGUGGCGAACGGGUGAGUAAUGCAUCGGAACGUGCCCAGUAGUGGGGGAUAGCCCGGCGAAAGCCGGAUUAAUACCGCAUACGACCUGAGGGUGAAAGCGGGGGACCGAAAGGCCUCGCGCUAUUGGAGCGGCCGAUGUCGGAUUAGCUAGUUGGUGGGGUAAAGGCUUACCAAGGCGACGAUCCGUAGCUGGUCUGAGAGGACGACCAGCCACACUGGGACUGAGACACGGCCCAGACUCCUACGGGAGGCAGCAGUGGGGAAUUUUGGACAAUGGGGGCAACCCUGAUCCAGCCAUGCCGCGUGCGGGAAGAAGGCCUUCGGGUUGUAAACCGCUUUUGUUCGGGAAGAAAUCCUCUGGGCUAAUACCCCGGGGGGAUGACGGUACCGGAAGAAUAAGCACCGGCUAACUACGUG
rnacentral:rRNA from 1 species